rnacentral:rRNA from 1 species
AUUGAACGCUGGCGGCAUGCCUUACACAUGCAAGUCGAACGCGAAAGGGGGGCAACUCCUGAGUAGAGUGGCGCACGGGUGAGUAAUGCAUCGGAACGUGUCCUGUAGCGGGGGAUAACCUAGCGAAAGCUAGGCUAAUACCGCAUACGUCCUACGGGAGAAAGUGGGGGAUCGUAAGACCUCACACUAUAGGAGCGGCCGAUGCCGGAUUAGCUAGUUGGUGGGGUAAAAGCCUACCAAGGCGACGAUCCGUAGCUGGUCGGAGAGGAUGAGCAGCCACACUGGGACUGAGACACGGCCCAGACUCCUACGGGAGGCAGCAGUGGGGAAUUUUGGACAAUGGGGGAAACCCUGAUCCAGCCAUGCCGCGUGAGUGAAGAAGGCCUUCGGGUUGUAAAGCUCUUUCGGCCGGGACGAAAUCGCACGCGUGAAUAUCGCGUGUGGAUGACGGUACCGGAAGAAGAAGGACCGGCUAACUACGUGCCAGCCGCCGCAGUAA